rnacentral:rRNA from 1 species
CUACGGGAGGCAGCAGUGGGGAAUAUUGGACAAUGGGCGAAAGCCUGAUCCAGCCAUGCCGCGUGUGUGAAGAAGGCCUUCGGGUUGUAAAGCACUUUCAGUGGGGAAGAAAGCCUUGGGGCUAAUACCCUCGAGGAAGGACAUCACCCACAGAAGAAGCACCGGCUAACUCCGUGCCAGCAGCCGCGGUAAUACGGAGGGUGCGAGCGUUAAUCGGAAUUACUGGGCGUAAAGCGCGCGUAGGCGGUCUGAUAAGCCGGUUGUGAAAGCCCCGGGCUCAACCUGGGAACGGCAUCCGGAACUGUCAGGCUAGAGUGCAGGAGAGGAAGGUAGAAUUCCCGGUGUAGCGGUGAAAUGCGUAGAGAUCGGGAGGAAUACCAGUGGCGAAGGCGGCCUUCUGGACUGACACUGACGCUGAGGUGCGAAAGCGUGGGUAGCAAACAGGAUUAGAUACCCGAGUAGUC